CCAGACUCCUACGGGAGGCAGCAGUGAGGAAUAUUGGUCAAUGGACGGAAGUCUGAGCCAGCCAUGCCGCGUGCAGGAAGACGGCUCUAUGAGUUGUAAACUGCUUUUGUACAAGGGUAAACCUGAAUACGUGUAUUCAGCUGAAAGUACUGUACGAAUAAGGAUCGGCUAACUCCGUGCCAGCAGCCGCGGUAAUACGGAGGGAGCAAGCGUUAUCCGGAUUUACUGGGUGUAAAGGGCGCGUAGGCGGGAUGGCAAGUCAGAUGUGAAAUCCAGGGGCUCAAUCCCUGAACUGCAUUUGAAACUGUCGUUCUUGAGUACUGGAGAGGUUGACGGAGUUCCUAGUGUAGCGGUGAAAUGCGUAGAUAUUAGGAGGAACACCAGUGGCGAAGGCGGUCAACUGGACAGCAACUGACGCUGAGGCGCGAAAGCGUGGGGAGCAAACAGGAUUAGAUACCCGCGUAA
rnacentral:rRNA from 1 species